CAAUUUCCUUAGGCUAUUUUUACCUUUUUCUUUGGGUUAAAGAAUUGAAAACUUCCGGCGGCAAAUUCGGACAAAUACAAACCAAGAUGAACAGAGAAAGCGAGAUAGCGAGGCAGUUGCAAGAAUGGACACAAGAAAUGCACUUCAACUUACAGUUGUCCCAUUCAGCAGCGUGAUAUCCAGAGAAGUUAAAAGUGAUGUGUAAAGGCCAGGAGCAGAAUUCAGUGUAUCAUGGCACGUUAUGCAAUAUCCACCAAACUCGAUUGACCGUUAACUUAUUCUGAUGCUAUCAGUGGCUGAUUUGUAAUGGGCCAUUAAAAGUAUUUGAUAGUGAGGCGGUUCGUCUGCUACAAGCAAGCUGCUAGGAAUGAAAACACCAGCACGUGCAGUCCCAUUCCAACAUGGUGCACAGAGAAAGGGCCACAAACAGCGAACACUGCUCAGUUCCAAGUACCAAGUCAAGAUACCCCUUGGUAUAUGUCAUCAUAACACUGAAAAGCAGACCAAUGAUGUGAUUGAAAUACUACAGCAUUCCCAUGACUUCAUUCCAAAUGACAGAACAAAAGAGCCUAAGAGGAGCUAGAAACAGAUACAAUUUGGGAAGAGCAGUAGAUAAUGAAAAUCAUACUAGCUGGUGGCGAUCAACUUGCAUGUGAAAAAAAGGGGGACACAAAUGGCCCAACAGGUUAGGGACACACCAAAAGAGAAGAUAGAGAGCGUUCAGCGCUGUAUUGAGGAUUUUUCAUGAGAAAAUGUAUUUCAGUCAGGAGUACCAGUGAUGAAUGUCAUCGCAUACCAAAAGCACUUCACUAGUUCAACAGCUCUGAAAAAACAGUGUGAAUGAAUGGAUAACUUGUCUACAACAUGGCUCACCAAACAAAAUUAGGUUGGAGUCAUUUAUUUUGCCAGAUAAGUGUGAUGAUGCAUAUGGUCAUACUUCCUGUAGUGAAGUAAAAAAAAUUGUCAUUACAAUGAAAAUACAUGAAAAAAAAUGUUAAUGUAUUAGAUAAUCAUAUAAUCACUGUAUUAUUGAAUCUGAUGAUAAAUAUAUUGAUAAUUAUAGUAAGAAUAUGUUGUCAAAGAAUGCUCCAAAUACCGUUAAUGUUCAUGCUGAGUUAAGAAUUAUCGAAACUAGGUGUUGGUUUGUUUUGUCGGAAUGUCCAUAAAAAUAUUACUUCAAAGAUGACAGGUUUGAAUGAGUAACGAAAAAUAAUCGGGGUUUGAACUUACCAUAAUGAUUUUAAUACUACAUUUGAUGUGCUCGACACACCACUUGAAGGCUCUGCAUAUAGCAACCAAGAUAUUUUCAAUACACUUGUGAGCAACAUUGCUUGUUUAAAAUGUGGCCAUGAGGAUUGUUCCUUUACUUUUUAUGAUGAUUUCAAUGAAAAAUGUUACACAAUUUUAGAUAUUGUAACAAUUGAUUCUUUCUAAGCUAAUUUCAAUUACCGUAUUAUAACAUUUAACAAACAUUUCAAUGUGUAUUCUUAUGUGAAUAAGUUUUUAGAUGAACUGGGCUUGUAACUAUAUUUCAUUACUAAGCACUUAAAAUCAAUGGUUAAAAAAAGAAUGCAUGAUUAAUACAAAAAAAAUGAAUCUUUUAGUAAUACAUCCUAAAUAAUAAUUCACGGAAUGUACAAAACUAAACUUUUUUUAAAAAAUAUCCAGGGUCUGGGUUCAUAAAGCAUCUUAAGUCAUUUCCUAACUUUAGUGCUUUUCCUAUUUUGAGUUUCUCACUGGUCUUAUGAUAUAAUUUCUUGAUAAUAUCAAUUAUACUUUAUUUCAUAAGACUUUAAACAAAAUUCAAACAUUUAUGCCAAAAAAAAAUAUUAAAAUUAAAAUCUAAUAUCAUUAUGAAAAGUUAUGGAAAUGAAAUUACUGAAGAUUCUUAAUGAACACAGACCUAGAUAUAUUACCUUGAAACGUUGGUCUUGUAAUGUGUAAAUAUAGAAAUUAAGAUCAUAAAUUACCUACUGAAAUAUGUCGCUUUUAUAGUAUUGACAUAUUUCAAAGAAAAUGCCUUCUUUGUAAUACCAGUUGUUGCUGGAUUUCAUUUUUUUAAUGUCACUUUUUUCAAGAUUUAGAAUUAAAUAUAUAUCACAUUAUUUGAUUACCAAAGCUCUUACAUAACGGAACAACUAAUGAAUUGUAAUAAUGAAACAAAACCAUAUAAAAUUGAAGUCAUUUUAACGAAUUCAUUCUCUUUGGAUCAUCAACCAAUGUCUUAUGUAUAGAUGUUUAGACACUGUUUGAUAACAUUCAUUUACUAUAUAGUAUAAUCUGUUGGUGAACUGCUGCUUGUUAUGUAUAUAACAUGUCACAUAGUUUUAUAGAGCCUUAUAAUUUAUAUUAAGUCUUUGAACUAAAUUAAUUGUUUCGAUGUAUGACCCUAUGAAAGUUAUAGCAUACUUUAGCAUGUUGUUAAACGAUAACAUUGUAAUGACACAAAAUUUAGUUAUUAAAUAAGAAGUAUUACCCAUUCAUGUAAUUAAUUCAUGUAUUAUCCAUAUAGUUUACUUAGUACAGCUAAAUGUCAACGGUGCACUUUGUCACGCAAUAUGUUCUUUUAUAUUACAUGUAUUCUGUUUAAUAAACUUAGAACAUAAUUAAAUUGUUAAUGAAUUGUAUCUUAGAACAUAAUUAAAUUGUUAAUGAAUUGUAUUUUAAGAUUGAACUAUGUCUUAAGUUGGGCUACCAAGUUUUAUGUGCAUUUUAGUGGCGAAAGUGUUAUAUUAAUAUCAUUAUUACAUUAACUCAUACAUGCUUUAAUUUAUCGCAUUAUGUAGUCUGUUUUUAUUGACAUAAACAAUUAGUUACCUUUCUAUUUAAAAAAAAUACAAACUGUUUUUAAGUAGCGCUCGCUAUUGAAACUUUUGCUUGCUUGCAGUUUACAUGCAGUCAAGAGUAAAAUAUUCUUGUUUUUUCACGUUUAUGCUCGAAGACAAUACUUUGUUUACUUACUAAAUGAGAUUGUAUGACAGAAAAUAGGACAAUAUAAUGAAUGUUUAAAAUGCCGUAUGGUAGAUGUAACAGUAACUGUACAUAUAUAUGAUAUUGAUUAAUUGCAUUUGUUUUAAUUGCAUUUGUUUUUAAUAAGAAUAAACAAAACCCUUUUAUAUUGGA